rnacentral:rRNA from 1 species
GAUCCUGGCUCAGGAUGAACGCUGGCGGCGUGCCUAACACAUGCAAGUCGAGCGAUUCCUCGGGAAGAGCGGCGGACGGGUGAGUAACGCGUGGGUAACCUGCCCUGUACACACGGAUAACAUACCGAAAGGUAUGCUAAUACGGGAUAACAUAUGAAAGUUGCAUAACUUUCAUAUCAAAGCUUUUGCGGUACAGGAUGGACCCGCGUCUGAUUAGCUAGUUGGUAAGGUAACGGCUUACCAAGGCGACGAUCAGUAGCCGACCUGAGAGGGUGAUCGGCCACACUGGAACUGAGACACGGUCCAGACUCCUACGGGAGGCAGCAGUGGGGAAUAUUGCACAAUGGGCGAAAGCCUGAUGCAAGCAACGCCGCGUGAGCGAUGAAGGCCUUCGGGUCGUAAAGCUCUGUCCUCAAGGAAGAUAAUGACGGUACUUGAGGAGGAAGCCCCGGCUAACUACGUGCCAGCAGCGGC